rnacentral:snRNA from 1 species
GGAUGUGAGGGCGAUCUGGCUGCGACAUCUGUCACCCCAUUGAUCGCCAGGGUUGAUUCGGCUGAUCUGGCUGGCUACGCGGGUGUCCCCUUCCUCCCUCAACGAUCCAUGUGCGUCCCUCCUGAAGCUGCGUGCUCGGUCGAAGAGGACAACCACCCCCGAAGAGGAGGACCGUUCCUCGGUCAAGGGUAUACGAGUAGCUGCGCUCCCCUGCUAGAACCUCCAAACAAGCUCUCAAGAACAAUAUCUUUAGAAAGUAGUGAAAAACAUUUAUUAUCUGAUAACUUUGAAAAUGAACAAAGAUUACCAAGGU